GCAGUGGUGGUUCAGUGAUAGAAUUCUCACCUUCCAUGCAGGAGACCUGGCUUCAACUCCCAGCCAAUGUG
rnacentral:tRNA from 1 species